rnacentral:lncRNA from 1 species
AGGUGCCCUUGGAGGACAGAAGUGUUGGAGCCCCCAGAGCUCCUCAGGCCUCCACUCUAUGGGUCUGGACUGACUUCUGCAUUCCGCGCCUUCUCUGGAUACCCCGCCUCCAGGAAGACUUCCAGGACUGACUGUACCCAAUCUCAGCGCCCUCCUCUCAGGAGCCCUUACAGUGGCAAGAGACUGGGUCCUGGGAACUUGCUACACUCCGAAUUGCUUUCCAUACACUGUAUUUGACUUUGCUUAUACAGAGACCCGAGAUGCUCUCAGAUUAGCUGAGACUGCAGCCAACAUUGCUAGUGUGACCAAGAGGAGAAUUUCCUCUUAAAGAUAGACUCGUUCUUAAACAAGCCACAGUGUAGCUGAAGUCCGCAUCAUCACAAGUCACAGUGUAACCGGAGUCCCCAUCAUCAAGUCACAGUGUAGCUGAGGUCCCCAGGAUCCCUUCUCUGACCUGCAGCUCGAGAAGGCCUCUUUGAGGCAAAUCACUGCUGUAGGACACCCCCAUUUCUCCUUACCCACUGUCCUUGCCCUCCCCCUGUGAGUGAGGACAUGACUGUAGCUUCUUGCAGACAAUCGGCUGCUGCCUCCUAGGGGGACCCUUUUCUCAGGAUGAGGUGGUGGCAACAUCAAACUUCCAAAGUCGAGUUACACGCACAAAGGACAUCCACUUCUCCGUGUAUCCUGAUAGAGGGAAGGAGGCACAUUUACUCACACACCGCCCGGAACAUAGGCUUCUGUAAAGUGGCUGUUUAUCUACUCAGUUCCCAACCAUAUACGCGCAGGAAGAAUAAAGCUAAAUAACGAGAGGC